CUAGCCGUAAACGAUGGAUACUAGGUGUUAGAGGUAUCGACCCCUCUAGUGCCGCAGCUAACGCAAUAAGUAUCCCGCCUGGGGAGUACGGCCGCAAGGUUGAAACUCAAAGGAAUUGACGGGGGCCCGCACAAGCGGUGGAGCAUGUGGUUUAAUUCGUCAUUAACCGAAGAACCUUACCAGGGUUUGACAUCUGCUGAAAGUGCCUGAAAGGGUUACCCCUCCCCCAAAAGGGGAGCAGCAAGACAGGUGU
rnacentral:rRNA from 1 species